UUUGUUUCAUUUUCUUCCGUGUUGGAAUCAAGAAUCCCGCCCCUUUCCUUGUACUUAAUUUCUCCUUUAAAGAAGUCUUACAAAGUUGGAUUAUACCAAUCAUUCUCUCUGUUCUUUUCUUAAUUUUGACAGAAAGUAAUCAGAGUGCAGGUCUGGCUAAAUGCUCGUUCAAGCUUGAACACCCAUUAGAGAAGAGGAAAUCGGAAUUCUCUUGCAUCAGAGAGAAGUAUCCAGAUAGAGUUUCAGUGAUUGUUGAGAAAGCUGAAAAAUCUGACAUUCCUAAUAUAGACAAAAAGAAGUAGGGAAAAUGACGUAUAGGCCCUAUAAUGUCUCUAGGGUUGACCCAUUUAGCCAGUUAACUUAUUUUGUGGCUUAAUAA